GAUGAACGCUGGCGGUAUGCUUAACACAUGCAAGUCGAACGAAAUCUUCGGAUUUAGUGGCGGACGGGUGAGUAACGCGUGAGAAUCUGGCUUCAGGUCUGGGACAACCACUGGAAACGGUGGCUAAUACCGGAUGUGCCGAGAGGUGAAAGAUUAAUUGCCUGAAGAUGAGCUCGCGUCUGAUUAGCUAGUAGGUGUGGUAAAGGCGCACCUAGGCGACGAUCAGUAGCUGGUCUGAGAGGACGAUCAGCCACACUGGGACUGAGACACGGCCCAGACUCCUACGGGAGGCAGCAGUGGGGAAUUUUCCGCAAUGGGCGAAAGCCUGACGGAGCAAUACCGCGUGAGGGAGGAAGGCUCUUGGGUCGUAAACCUCUUUUCUCAGGGAAGAACACAAUGACGGUACCUGAGGAAUAAGCAUCGGCUAACUCCGUGCCAGCAGCCGCGGUAAUACGGAGGAUGCAAGCGUUAUCCGGAAUGAUUGGGCGUAAAGCGUCCGCAGGUGGCUAUGUAAGUCUGCUGUUAAAGAGUCUAGCUCAACUAGAUAAGAGCAGUGGAAACUACAAGGCUAGAGUACGUUCGGGGCAGAGGGAAUUCCUGGUGUAGCGGUGAAAUGCGUAGAGAUCAGGAAGAACACCGGUGGCGAAGGCGCUCUGCUAGGCCGUAACUGACACUGAGGGACGAAAGCUAGGGGAGCGAAUGGGAUUAGAUACCCCAGUAGUCCUAGCCGUAAACGAUGGAUACUAGGCGUGGCUUGUAUCGACCCGAGCCGUGCCGUAGCUAACGCGUUAAGUAUCCCGCCUGGGGAGUACGCCGGCAACGGUGAAACUCAAAGGAAUUGACGGGGGCCCGCACAAGCGGUGGAGUAUGUGGUUUAAUUCGAUGCAACGCGAAGAACCUUACCAAGGCUUGACAUGUCGCGAAUCUCGGUGAAAGCUGAGAGUGCCUUCGGGAGCGCGAACACAGGUGGUGCAUGGCGUCGUCAGCUCGUGUCGUGAGAUGUUGGGUUAAGUCCCGCAACGAGCGCAACCCUCGUUUUUAGUUGCCAGCAUUAAGUUGGGCACUCUAGAGAGACUGCCGGUGACAAACCGGAGGAAGGUGGGGAUGACGUCAAGUCAGCAUGCCCCUUACGCCUUGGGCUACACACGUACUACAAUGCUCCGGACAGAGGGCAGCAAGCAUGCGAAUGCAAGCAAAUCCCGUAAACCGGAGCUCAGUUCAGAUCGCAGGCUGCAACUCGCCUGCGUGAAGGAGGAAUCGCUAGUAAUUGCAGGUCAGCAUACUGCAGUGAAUUCGUUCCCGGGCCUUGUACACACCGCCCGUCACACCAUGGAAGCUGGUAGUGCCCGAAGUCAUUACUCCAACCUUUCGGGGAGGAGGAUGCCUAAGGCAGGACUGGUGACUGGGGUGAAGUCG
rnacentral:rRNA from 1 species